CUGGCCUACGGGGGGCAGCAGUGGGGAAUAUUGCACAAUGGGGGAAACCCUGAUGCAGCGACGCCGCGUGAGUGAAGAAGUAUUUCGGUAUGUAAAGCUCUAUCAGCAGGGAAGAAGAAAGACGGUACCUGACUAAGAAGCCCCUGCUAACUACGUGCCAGCAGCCGCGGUAAUACGUAGGGGGCAAGCGUUAUCCGGAUUUACUGGGUGUAAAGGGAGCGUAGACGGCCGUGCAAGUCUGAAGUGAAAGCCCGUGGCUCAACCGCGGAACUGCUUUGGACACUGUAUAGCU
rnacentral:rRNA from 1 species